AGCUCCAAUAGCGUAUAUUAAAGUUACUGCAAUUAAAAAGCUCGUAGUAGGAUCUCAGGGUACCUGGUCUAGCCGGUAUAGCUAACGUGAGGUAUUCGUCUCCGGGUGCACUUCAUUAGGUGCUCGUGAGGGGCCUCGUAGUUACUGUGAAAAAAAUAGAGUGUUCAAAGCAGGCUCAUAUGUUCGGAUAGUCGUGCAUGGAAUAGCUGAAUACGUGACUGGCGCUUUUCAGUUGGUCUCGGCGACUGGUCAAAUGAUUAAGAGGGACUGCCGGGGGCAUUGGUAUGGCGGGGUUAGAGGUGAAAUUCUUGGAUCCUCGCCAGACCAAAAAAAGCGAAAGCAUUUGCCAAGAAUGUCUUCA
rnacentral:rRNA from 1 species